GGAGGCCCAGCUGGUGCGUUAUCAGCCUCCUCCAGGAGCCGGCCCAAGGCACCGAGCGGCUGACAGUCUGAGAUUAGGCCCCGGGAGGGUCAUUAAGCUGCGGCCUGGCCCUGGCCCAGCCUCCUUUCCUCCUGAUCCAACUAGGCCGGCAGGUGGGAGCUGGCGAUAAGGACGGGGGUCUUGGCGGUUCUGGGGUGGGCGCUCCCUCACUCCCAGCCCCUGGUCAGGACCGGAACAUGGAGUGGAGGAGGACGACUGUAGCUCUACCUCCUGAACCCCAGAGAGAUGGUUUGUGGGUACUCCUUGAGAUAUUCAGGCCUUAGACAACAAAAUCAUGGCUGUGACUGUGAAGCAAGGCCACUGUGGAAAGGUGAGAUCGGUGGCAGAGAAACAUCUGGAAACAAGGAGGCUCUGGCUGCCUUCUCCACACAUUUCUGCUGGGUUAUUACCACAGAAAGAGGGACCAGUGUUGGUCAGUGAGACACACAGACGCAGAGGAGCUGGCCAGGCAGCACUUGCCUCAGAGCCUCCUGGUCUCUUCUCUUCCGGGGUAAUUCCCCUGACUCCCAUCCCACCCAGGGUUGAGAGCCGAGUCAGGACACUGGUGAGGGAUGGGUUCUGUCUAGUUCAUCUCGGCUCCACAGUUUUCUUUCCCAUAUGCUAGCCCAACACUCUAGAGCCCUGGGAAGGGGAGAGAGCUGGACAGAGUGGGUGGUGUGCUGUAAAGGAAAAAUCCAGAAGGUCCAGAGCUUCCUGAGUAAUCCAUAAAUCCAAUGGCCAUGGACCCUAGAAGGCAGUUAUUGAGAAGAAAUGGGCAAGGCCAUGCUUGGAGCCUGCAAGCUGGGUCUGAGUCUUUGCCCCAGAAGUAUAAAAAGUCUUUAUUUCGUAGAAAUAAGGGCCACUUCCAUAGUUGCAGGAGGAGGGAGAUGAAAGGUGGGGGCUCCUCAGAAUUGGGUGGAAGACCCCAGGGCCACAGUACAUCUUGAGCUCAACUUGGCUGUGACUCAAGAGAGCCGAGAGGGGCAGCUUGCUUCAAUAGAUUCCUGCAGAGCAAUGGUGGGGUGAAGUGGUGGCAUCGACUCUAUGUGCCCCAUAGCCUGGGGACUGGGGUCAUGGAUGAGCUUGUCACAUGGGUGUGCUGCGAACCCUGCCCUCUUCCUCCAGAAUGUUCUCGAAGGCAUUCUUGUGCUCACUGGACCUGGAAAUGGAGCAUCUCACCUAAAACCAGCCGCCAUUGAGGAGUAUCUGCCGUCCAUUCCCACCAGGACCCCGUCUGCCUUGCUUCCAACAAUCAUGACCGUGCUACCAGGCUCCCUGGAAAUGAGGUCCAGACUAUACAGCCUCAUACUCAGCCUCCUUCUGUCUUUAAGCCUGCAGGCUGCACACACUGUGCACCCGCGUGGAACAGCCAGGACUCCAAGGUCAUCUCAUCCCCUGAUCCCAGCUGCAUUGGCAUAAAACGCCCAGUCUGGAUCAUUCGUGCUGCCAGGUCCUACUGACCUCCUCGGCCUCACACUGGAACUCUCUGUCCUUCCCCCCCCCCCCAAAUUCUUUGCACAUACUCUGCAGGCCUUGCAGGGCUGCUGCUGGGUCCCUGGCUAACAGGCCACCUCGGUGAGACCUGGGGAAAGAUCCCCUUAGACAGAUGUAGCUUUACCCAGGGAGCUCUUGAUCUCUAUGCAUUCAUGCCUGGUACCAGUGCCAGGUCCCAAACUGGGGACUCAAGGGUACUUUUCCUGCACCACCCCAUCUUCUGACUGACUCCUUGUGUGAUAGGUUUUAGGGUAAAUGUGCAAUCGGUGAAACCUUGCUAACCAACCCCCUUCCAACCCUGUGUCCCGCACUCUGUACUUUCUUUCGGCUGUAUUUGACUUGAGUUGCUUAUCCA